rnacentral:ribozyme from 1 species
CAGAAGGCCAUGGCCGAGGCGGUCAAGGAGAGGUACAAGGAGUUGCUGAGUUACUCCGGGAGGCGGAAGACCCACUACGACGAAGAGGUCAACGAGGAGAAGGAGAGAAAA